CAAUAAUACAAUAUAUAAUCCAUAAAGUAUAUAAUCUAUUAUAUAAUACCAUUAAUACUGGUGGGUGAGGUAAAUAAGACCUGUACCCUCUGUGGGUGAGGUAAAUAAAGACCCGUAUCCUCUGUGGGUGAGGUAAAUAAAGACCCGUACCCUCUGUGGGUGAGGUAAAUAAAGACCCGUACCCUCUGUGGGUGAGGUA